rnacentral:rRNA from 1 species
CCUACGGGUGACAGCAGUGAGGAAUAUUGGUCAAUGGGCGUAAGCCUGAACCAGCCAAGUCGCGUGAGGGAUGAAGGUUCUAUGGAUCGUAACCUCUUUUAUAAGGGAAUAAAGUGUGGGACGUGUCCUGUUUUGUAUGUACCUUAUGAAUAAGGAUCGGCUAACUCCGUGCCAGCAGCCGCGGUAAUACGGAGGAUCCGAGCGUUAUCCGGAUUUAUUGGGUUUAAAGGGAGCGUAGGUGGAUUGUUAAGUCAGUUGUGAAAGUUUGCGGCUCAACCGUAAAAUUGCAGUUGAAACUGGCAGUCUUGAGUACAGUAGAGGUGGGCGGAAUUCGUGGUGUAGCGGUGAAAUGCUUAGAUAUCACGAAGAACUCCGAUUGCGAAGGCAGUUCACUGGACUGCAACUGACACUGAGGCUCGAAAGUGUGGGUAUCAAACAGGAUUAGAUACCCUGGUAGUC